rnacentral:rRNA from 1 species
AUUGAACGCUGGCGGCAUGCCUUACACAUGCAAGUCGAACGGUAACAGGUCUUCGGAUGCUGACGAGUGGCGAACGGGUGAGUAAUACAUCGGAACGUGCCCGAUCGUGGGGGAUAACGAGGCGAAAGCUUUGCUAGUACCGCAUACGAUCUACGGAUGAAAGCGGGGGAUCUUCGGACCUCGCGCGGACGGAGCGGCCGAUGGCAGAUUAGGUAGUUGGUGGGAUAAAAGCUUACCAAGCCGACGAUCUGUAGCUGGUCUGAGAGGAUGAUCAGCCACACUGGGACUGAGACACGGCCCAGACUCCUACGGGAGGCAGCAGUGGGGAAUUUUGGACAAUGGGCGAAAGCCUGAUCCAGCCAUGCCGCGUGCAGGAUGAAGGCCUUUGGGUUGUAAACUGCUUUUGUACGGAACGAAAAGCCUCUUUCUAAUAAAGAGGGGUCAUGACGGUACCGUAAGAAUAAGCACCGGCUAACUACGUG